rnacentral:rRNA from 1 species
UNGGAAUUACUGGGCGUAAAGCGGGCGCAGACGGUUACUUAAGCAGGAUGUGAANUCCCCGGGCUCAACCUGGGAACUGCGUUNUGAACUGGGUGACUAGAGUGUGUCAGAGGGAGGUAGAAUUCCACGUGUAGCAGUGAAAUGCGUAGAGAUGUGGAGGAAUACCGAUGGCGAAGGCAGCCUCCUGGGAUAACACUGACGUUCAUGCCCGAAAGCGUGGGUAGCAAACAGGAUUAGAUACCCUGGUAGUNCACGCCCUAAACGAUGUCGAUUAGCUGUUGGGCAGCAUGACUGCUUGGUAGCGAAGCUAACGCGUGAAAUCGACCGCCUGGGGAGUAUGGUCGCAAGAUUAAAACUCAAAGGAAUUGACGGGGACCCGCACAAGCGGUGGAUGAUGUGGAUUAAUUCGAUGCAACGCGAAGAACCUUACCUGGUCUUGACAUGUACGGAACCCUCCAGAGACGGAGGGGUGCCUUCGGGAGCCGUAACACAGGUGCUGCAUGGCUGUCGUCAGCUCGUGUCGUGAGAUGUUGGGUUAAGUCCCGCAACGAGCGCAACCCUUGUCAUUAGUUGCCAUCAUUAAGUUGGGCACUCUAAUGAGACUGCCGGUGACAAGCCGGAGGAAGGUGGGGAUGACGUCAAGUCCUCAUGGCCCUUAUGACCAGGGCUUCACACGUCAUACAAUGGUCGGUACAGAGGGUAGCCAAGCCGCGAGGUGGAGCCAAUCUCACAAAACCGAUCGUAGUCCGGAUUGCACUCUGCAACUCGAGUGCAUGAAGUCGGAAUCGCUAGUAAUCGCAGGUCAGCAUACUGCGGUGAAUACGUUCCCGGGUCUUGUACACACCGCCCGUCACACCAUGGGAGUGGGGGAUACCAGAAGUAGGUAGGGUAACCGCAAGGAGCCC